GAGUUUGAUCGUGGCUCAGAGUGAACGCUGGCGGUAGGCCUAACACAUGCAAGUCGAACGGCAGCACAGAGGAGCUUGCUCCUUGGGUGGCGAGUGGCGGACGGGUGAGGAAUACAUCGGAAUCUACUCUGUCGUGGGGGAUAACGUAGGGAAACUUACGCUAAUACCGCAUACGACCUACGGGUGAAAGCAGGGGAUCUUCGGACCUUGCGCGAUUGAAUGAGCCGAUGUCGGAUUAGCUAGUUGGCGGGGUAAAGGCCCACCAAGGCGACGAUCCGUAGCUGGUCUGAGAGGAUGAUCAGCCACACUGGAACUGAGACACGGUCCAGACUCCUACGGGAGGCAGCAGUGGGGAAUAUUGGACAAUGGGCGCAAGCCUGAUCCAGCCAUACCGCGUGGGUGAAGAAGGCCU
rnacentral:rRNA from 1 species